rnacentral:rRNA from 1 species
UAUCCUGUCUGAAUAUGGGGGGACCAUCCUCCAAGGCUAAAUACUCCUGACUGACCGAUAGUGAACCAGUACCGUGAGGGAAAGGCGAAAAGAACCCCGGCGAGGGGAGUGAAAAAGAACCUGAAACCGUGUACGUACAAGCAGUGGGAGCCUCUUAAUGGGGUGACUGCGUACCUUUUGUAUAAUGGGUCAGCGACUUAUAUUCUGUAGCAAGGUUAACCGAAUAGGGGAGCCGAAGGGAAACCGAGUCUUAACUGGGCGUUAAGUUGCAGGGUAUAGACCCGAAACCCGGUGAUCUAGCCAUGGGCAGGUUGAAGGUUGGGUAACACUAACUGGAGGACCGAACCGACUAAUGUUGAAAAAUUAGCGGAUGACUUGUGGCUGGGGGUGAAAGGCCAAUCAAACCGGGAGAUAGCUGGUUCUCCCCGAAAGCUAUUUAGGUAGCGCCUCGUGAAUUCAUCUCCGGGGGUAGAGCACUGUUUCGGCAAGGGGGUCAUCCCGACUUACCAACCCGAUGCAAACUGCGAAUACCGGAGAAUGUUAUCACGGGAGACACACGGCGGGUGCUAACGUCCGUCGUGAAGAGGGAAACAACCCAGACCGCCAGCUAAGGUCCCAAAGUCAUGGUUAAGUGGGAAACGAUGUGGGAAGGCCCAGACAGCCAGGAUGUUGGCUUAGAAGCAGCCAUCAUUUAAAGAAAGCGUAAUAGCUCACUGGUCGAGUCGGCCUGCGCGGAAGAUGUAACGGGGCUAAACCAUGCACCGAAGCUGCGGCAGCGACACUAUGUGUUGUUGGGUAGGGGAGCGUUCUGUAAGCCUGUGAAGGUGGCCUGUGAGGGUUGCUGGAGGUAUCAGAAGUGCGAAUGCUGACAUAAGUAACGAUAAAGCGGGUGAAAAGCCCGCUCGCCGGAAGACCAAGGGUUCCUGUCCAACGUUAAUCGGGGCAGGGUGAGUCGACCCCUAAGGCGAGGCCGAAAGGCGUAGUCGAUGGGAAACAGGUUAAUAUUCCUGUACUUGGUGUUACUGCGAAGGGGGGACGGAGAAGGCUAUGUUGGCCGGGCGACGGUUGUCCCGGUUUAAGCGUGUAGGCUGGUUUUCCAGGCAAAUCCGGAAAACCAAGGCUGAGGCGUGAUGACGAGGCACUACGGUGCUGAAGCGACAAAUGCCCUGCUUCCAGGAAAAGCCUCUAAGCAUCAGGUAACAUCAAAUCGUACCCCAAACCGACACAGGUGGUCAGGUAGAGAAUACCAAGGCGCUUGAGAGAACUCGGGUGAAGGAACUAGGCAAAAUGGUGCCGUAACUUCGGGAGAAGGCACGCUGAUAUGUAGGUGAAGCGACUUGCUCGUGGAGCUGAAAUCAGUCGAAGAUACCAGCUGGCUGCAACUGUUUAUUAAAAACACAGCACUGUGCAAACACGAAAGUGGACGUAUACGGUGUGACGCCUGCCCGGUGCCGGAAGGUUAAUUGAUGGGGUUAGCGGUAACGCGAAGCUCUUGAUCGAAGCCCCGGUAAACGGCGGCCGUAACUAUAACGGUCCUAAGGUAGCGAAAUUCCUUGUCGGGUAAGUUCCGACCUGCACGAAUGGCGUAAUGAUGGCCAGGCUGUCUCCACCCGGGACUCAGUGAAAUUGAACUCGCUGUGAAGAUGCAGUGUACCCGCGGCAAGACGGAAAGACCCCGUGAACCUUUACUAUAGCUUGACACUGAACAUUGAGCCUUGAUGUGUAGGAUAGGUGGGAGGCUUUGAAGUGUGGACGCCAGUCUGCAUGGAGCCGACCUUGAAAUACCACCCUUUAAUGUUUGAUGUUCUAACGUUGGCCCGUAAUCCGGGUUGCGGACAGUGUCUGGUGGGUAGUUUGACUGGGGCGGUCUCCUCCUAAAGAGUAACGGAGGAGCACGAAGGUUGGCUAAUCCUGGUCGGACAUCAGGAGGUUAGUGCAAUGGCAUAAGCCAGCUUGACUGCGAGCGUGACGGCGCGAGCAGGUGCGAAAGCAGGUCAUAGUGAUCCGGUGGUUCUGAAUGGAAGGGCCAUCGCUCAACGGAUAAAAGGUACUCCGGGGAUAACAGGCUGAUACCGCCCAAGAGUUCAUAUCGACGGCGGUGUUUGGCACCUCGAUGUCGGCUCAUCACAUCCUGGGGCUGAAGUAGGUCCCAAGGGUAUGGCUGUUCGCCAUUUAAAGUGGUACGCGAGCUGGGUUUAGAACGUCGUGAGACAGUUCGGUCCCUAUCUGCCGUGGGCGCUGGAGAACUGAGGGGGGCUGCUCCUAGUACGAGAGGACCGGAGUGGACGCAUCACUGGUGUUCGGGUUGUCAUGCCAAUGGCACUGCCCGGUAGCUAAAUGCGGAAGAGAUAAGUGCUGAAAGCAUCUAAGCACGAAACUUGCCCCGAGAUGAGUUCUCCCUGAGACUUAGAGUCUCCUGAAGGAACGUUGAAGACGACGACGUUGAUAGGCCGGGUGUGUAAGCGCAGCGAUGCGUUGAGCUAACCGGUACUAAUGAACCGUGAGGCUUAACCUUACAACGCCGAAG